rnacentral:rRNA from 1 species
UUACGGUCAAAUCACGCUGAAAACACCGGUUCUCGUUCGAUCACCGAAGUUAAGCAUCGUGAAAUUCAGUACUUAGAUGGGGACCGCUUGGGAACACCUGGUACU